ACCCUCGUAGUUAUAGGAUAUGAAAUAUUAUUCUGAAAAUUCAUUUCUUGAAUUCUUUUUUGCCCACUACGAGUAAAGCCAAAGAGCCCGGGUUCGAUUCCCGGCGGGGGUG
rnacentral:tRNA from 1 species